CUAGACUUUGGAGUCUGUUUACGAUUACGUUGGAAAUUAACGCGUGCCUUCGCCGCGCCCCCUUCCCAAAGACAACCCCUCAGGGGAGUGCGUUAAAAACCCAGAGUUAAGGAAGCUUGGGAUACUUUUUCCAAAAUGAACCAACUGCGGGAAGCGCCACUGUGAGGCAGGAACCUUAAAGCUACCCUACCCCCACCGCACCCCGCGCGCUCCCCGGUGGUUUGCAGAGUGCACGCGCGGAAAUUAAAGCAGGAGGCGGUUGCAGGACCGUGUCCGGGGAGACAGACAGAACCCACCGGCUGGCAACCCCCUCUGCAAACUGCCCGGGUCGCAGAGCUUUCCGGGACCUGGCUGGCGAUGACUCAGCUGCUGCGCCCGGGUGCGGGACUGAUGUGAUGCGGGGAGGGAGCCGCCCGUUGGAGGGCCGCCUCUGUCUGGUUUUUGAAGGGUUGUUUGUGGCUGGGAUUGGUGGCUCACGUCCGCUGGGGACUCUGGAGAGGAGGGAAAGAAAGACGCGAGGAGGAGGAGCUGGACCGCGUGAGUGGCAGGAGUCCGGUUCGGGCCCGGCGGGGACUGCCUAGUCGCUUUGUUUGCUAACUUGGGACAGUGGCUUCGGGGCCGCUCCACGGGACCCGCCUCGGGUCGGCUAAACCCAGCCGCGGCAGCGCGAGGCCGAAACGUUCCUUCCCGGCGGUUACCCGCGCCCACGCGGUGGCUCUCAUUAUGUACACAAAGGAUUUCGGAAAAGAUCGCUUUUUGUCUCCGCCCUCACGAUAGCUCCACCCACCAAUGAGAAGCGAUGGGGUCUCAGCAUGGACUCGAAUAGUGUCGCUUCUGGGACCAUGAAUGCCCAUCGUUCUGACUGAAGAAUCUCUGGAUACACUUUUGGAUGGUAUCGUCAAAGCCAGGCCUCAUGGAAGAUCUGAGUGAGUUUGUAUCUAUCUUGACAAUCUUUCCUGAGAGGUCAUGCCUGGUAACAAAGCUCCCAGGACUUGGUGGGAAGGCCCUUUCCCCUGUAGUUACCCGGUGUGCCACGCAGAUUGCACAGCACAGCAUUGCCCUGCUUCCAACGGAGCUCGAAGCUGAGACAGGGCAGGCGAAGCCCUGCAUUGUUUCAUAUCCUUGGGAGCUUCAGGACUGCCAUUCAUGUCUUCCAAAAUAUCGAGUUUUCAUCAGCAUACAACGAUGGCUUUUUGUCUCUGGGCCUCAUUAGUCCAAGAAACUCAAUCCAUUAACUGGAUUUGGGUAAGUGUUGAAGGAAGUCCUUUCCUUCCUGCCGUGUAAGAUGCUGUAGACACUUGUGUUAACUAGGUUCUCCUACUUGUACUGUAGAUACUGAGCGAUAUUUUCUGACGCAAAUACGAUGCUGCUCCCUCGAUCCUCCACAAACGAACCGUCCAAUGCAGUAAAAGCGGUCCUAAAGAGUCUUUACCAGUGACCGCCUGUCCUGUAGAAGACACGUCAGCUGUCUGAACAUCACCAUCACUGGAAACAAUUUUUCCUUGAUGUACCUGUC